ACUCUUCCUAUCCCUCGAGGCUCUCGUUGCUGUGACAUCAAAAGCGAACUAGCUUCACUUGACUGGCUAGCUCCAUGUUUUGUUUGCGUCUUUCUACAGCAGAAGAAAUUACGAAUUUAACUCAGACUUUCUGCCGAAGAUAAUGAGCACAAAUGUGAGAACGUUUCUUCCUCGUCGCCAGUUUUGUUGUAUAGCACACUGUAUUACUUUUACAACUAAAAUAAGGACAGGACAUGAGACGGGAGUAGAAAUUAACGUCGGCAUUGUUUAAUGCGUUCCACAUGAAGAACAUUCCAAGCAUUUCAAUGUGGAGACAGUACUUCAUUGAUGAUACAUGGGAUGCUGUUGAACUCUGCAGUCUGUCAGCUGUAACUGGAACUCACUGCUGGAGUUUCUGGGGUGCAUUUAGUAGUCACAUUUUGCAACGGACACCAUUAACUCCUAAUGGAAAACAUUUUGCAAUGAAAACUAGAGUUUUUAUUGGACAAAUUCAGCUAGGUUUCUCCCCGUUUUGUUCUGUUUGCUUCCAUUUGUUUAUGUUUGGUUCUGUUUGGUUCCCAGUGAAUACACCCCAGGUAAUCCCCACCUCCUCCCAGAUAUCCUCAACUCCUUCCAGCAAUUUUUCUCCGUCUUUGAGCUCAUCCCUCUAUUCUAUAUCUCCCCCUCUCUCUUCCUCUCAUUCUCUCUCUUUCUGGUCAUGCUUGACUUGGCAAAUGUAUGAAAUUAUCAUAUAUUACUAUAUAGAAAUGUAAUGUAUGUAUGACAUUUUAUGUAAUGUAUUGUAGCGACCCGCACAGACAGCUGUGUGUUAUGUGCUAGGCUAGGAGGUGGUUGUGUUGUACUGACCAGUACCCGGUGUUCGCGGGGUCCGACAUGUCAAUCAACCUGCUAUCUGCCAAUCACGGGAAUGCCUGGAAUGUUCUGAUGCCGGGCAUCCUGGUGGUUGGCGGAGUGGCGUGGAGGGGGGUUGGGCAUUGGAAGUUAAGAGCAGGUUCAGCCUUUGUUCUCUCUCUCUUACGUCUGGGCUUCACAAGAGAAGGUCACGAUUGGCUUGUGGGUUAUCUGUCAUCUAUUUGGCGUGUGCUACGGCCCAAACAGUAGCCUGUGUAAAGUUGGUUCAAUAAACCGUCAAUUCGCAAACUCAAA